rnacentral:rRNA from 1 species
GUUUAGAACGUCGUGAGACAGUUCGGUCCCUAUCUGCCGUGGGCGCUGGAGAAUUGAGGGGGGCUGCUCCUAGUACGAGAGGACCGGAGUGGACGCAUCACUGGUGUUCGGGUUGUCAUGCCAAUGGCACUGCCCGGUAGCUAAAUGCGGAAGAGAUAAGUGCUGAAAGCAUCUAAGCACGAAACUUGCCCCGAGAUGAGUUCUCCCUGAGACUUUAAGUCUCCUGAAGGAACGUUGAAGACGACGACGUUGAUAGGCCGGGUGUGUAAGCGCAGCGAUGCGUUGAGCUAACCGGUACUAAUGAACCGUGAGGCUUAACCUUACAACGCCGAAG